rnacentral:misc_RNA from 1 species
CACCUUCAGUUUUACUGGUCUUGGGAGUAGCCGUGCUCUCCUUAAACAUAGUGGUGUGUGCCGUCUGCUCACGCGUAGUACUACUCUCGCGACGUGUAGCCGGUGACCCCCCAGAAAGUCUCUU